UUUCCGUAGGUGAACCUGCGGAAGGAUCAUUAUUGAAUACGUUUGGUUCUGAUGCUGGCUCUUCACUGAGCAUGUGCUCGAUCCAUAACUAUUUAUCUUCUCAUGUGCACCUUUUGUAGUCUUUCAGAGCAAGUGAUAACUCUCGCAGCAAUGCGGUUUGGGGGACUUGGGCGUGAGCCCUUCCCCUGCGUUUGCUUCUUUGGAGGGCUAUGUUUUCAUAUACACUAUAAAGUUACAGAAUGUCUUUUAAAGAUUGUGCUAGUCGCAGUCAUUAAACCUAUACAACUUUCAGCAACGGAUCUCUUGGCUCUC
rnacentral:misc_RNA from 1 species